CCUAUUUUUUAAAGUUUAGAAAACACAAAAGGUAUGAGUAAAGAUGGAACGUACAAUCAUGUACAAUGGAUUCCUAAAAGCCCCUAAGCAUACACUUUGAAACAUGAAAUGUAGACUAAAUAACAAGACGCAUUUUCUAAAACCUACAAAAUAGGUAGUAGUCUGCUUUUAAAAUGAUAUACACUAAAGCAGAGGUUCUUUCACUUUACAGACUUCUUUGAACACCUGUUAGGAGCUAUCUUGUACUCUAGAAAAGCACACAAAAAUGUGCAUCCAUUUUCUGGGAGCUUAACAAAUCUGCAAGAACCCAGAAAGUAAUCCCUGAACAAUUACACUUAUUUGAAUAUUCUUUUCUUCUAAAGCCUCAAAGAAUAAGGAAUACUUGAGUAAUCUAAAAUUUAGGGAUUACCAAAAAAUGCCUAUGAGAUAUGUAUUUCACUUGGACACAACAAAGAAUCUGAGAGGAUCUGGCUCUACUGCUUAUGUGCCACUGGACAGGAAGCAAGUCUCUGAUGUCAGAGUCUCUGAUGUCUGGGUGGGCCUCCCCAUAUGACAGUAAGAUGGGAACAGUAAUGCCUACUUCACAAAACAAAUCAGAUAUUAAAUGUUCUGUACUCCAUGACAAGCUUCAAACACACCAAUGGCCUAUGCACAAUAACCCCAGAUCAUCGAUAAAGAGGAAUUUUGUCUGAAGGGGGAGAAAGGAGGUAAUAGGUAAUGUUAACCUAGAUACACUCAGGAAGGUGGAAAAUAUAGUUUACCUGAGCCAUGGGCUUGGUAUAGUUUUUCCCCUUUUUAUCUCACAAGGUCUCUCUGCUCCCAAGAUCCAGGACUAAAGCUCUGGCUAUUAAUACCAUGUUCUAGUUAUAUGUGGGAUAAAUAAGAACUGUGGGCUGGUAUAGAAACCCUGUGCCCACAUACACUAUUGUUUCUAUAUCAAAAUGUUUCAUAUUUUAAAAACUGACUAAAUAACCUGUAAUACCCAAUAUUCACAGCUGGAAAAGUCAUGAAAAAUCAAUAAAUAUUUAAAGCUAUGGGUCUGACCCAGAACAUCAGUGAGUUCCAUAGAACUAUUUCCAUUAUUUCUUCAUAAUUUCCACUUUGACAAUCAUGGGACAGCCUUAUAGAGGUAGGGCAAUAAUCCAGAGAUAUUAGGUGUUCAAUACUGGCAUACACACUACUACAUUUUGAUGAGUUAUAAUAACACUAAAUAUAGUGAACUUUAACAAUGGCUUAAAGUCUGAUAAACGUUGCAAUUGAUCAAAAUGAUCAAUUUUGGUAUGUUGUCGAUGCAAUUAAAGGGAUACUGAAAGUGGCUCAAAUCACGAACUCUUCACGUUGUCAUGUUUCUUUGGCUGUAAUAAGUUAAGCAACUGGUCCAGGACUGCAUUUUCAAGAGAAACCCCAGAACUGACCACUACAGUUCCUUCUCCAGUGUCAGAGAGAUCUCCAGAUAAAGAUGCACAGAAGAGUGCCACCUUGAAGGUGUCUGAUUUUUUGAUAGGACUACCUGAAGCAGACGAUGGCACAGUGUGCUAUAGACUGAGAAGGUGGUGUGAAGAUGUGCAAAGAAGAGGUGAAGAGGAGGAGGGGAUAUUAUUCAGUGUUAUUUCGGUUACCACUCCUCCCCAUUUAAAGGACUGUAACCAUGGCAACUGGGCCCAACUAAAGAGAAGGCAAUGAUGGCUAGUUUUCUCCCUGCAAUAAACUACAGUGAUCCUUUUUUACAAGACGAGGAAAAAAAUCUUUCAUCUUAUGCCAAGAACAGCCAAGCUCAGGUCAUGAUCUCAUGGUUCGUGGGAUUGAGCUUCAUAUGCUGGGCUCAUGCUGUCAGUACGGAGCCUGCUUGGGAUUCUCUACCCCGCCCACCCCUCUGUCCUCCUGCCCCACCAUUCCCCAGCUUGCUCUCUCGCUCUCUCUCUAAAUAAAUA